UAAUCUGCUCAAUGAAUUAUUAAAUAGCUGCAUUAUUUUAAUUGUACAAAGGUAGCAUAAUCAGUAGUUUUUUAAUUGAAAGCUGGAAUGAAGGAUUGAAUGAAAUAUUAAUUGUCUCAAAUUUAAUAAUAAUAGAAUUUUUUAUUAGUUAAAAAACUAAUAUAUAUUUAAAAGACGAGAAGACCCUAUAGAUUUUUAUAAUUUAAUAUGUGAAUUAAUGUGAUAUAAUUUAAAUUUUAUAAAUUGAAUUAUUUGAUUGGGGUAAUUUAUAAAUUAAGAAAAUUAUAUUUAAUAUUAUACAUUGAUUAAUGGUAAAUAGAUCUUACAUUAUGGAUAAAAAGAAUAAAAUACCUUAGGGAUAACAGCGUAAUAUUUUUGGAGAGAUCAUAUUAAUAAAAAAGAUUGCGACCUCGAUGKUGAAUUAAAAUAAAAUUAUAAUGGAGAAAUUAUAAAUU
rnacentral:rRNA from 1 species